AUAUCUUGAAAAGCAAUACAAAGUCCAGUAAUAAGUUGCUAGUUUUCAAUUAAAUGAUGAGAUCAUGUCUGAAAUGUUCUGUUUGGCUUUUUAUUCCCCUGAGUGGCUCAGUCAGGAUGUUCAGGGAAGUGGUCACCACAAAUGUAAUUGCCACCAGCCAGAGCAGCUGAAAAACUUCCCUAUGUCCCAAGCCAUGUCUUAUGGAGGCCUCCAAGAGCCCUGUCUGCUCUGAACAUGAACAAUAUAGUCAAAAAACAGAAAGAAAGCAGACUGGCAUUUAAGGAAUGUUAAUGAUUGGAUGAAAUAUUGAUAAGUUCUCUUCAUGAACUUCUACUUUGUUCUUUUAGAAAUCAGUUGGCAAAGUCCUUCUAAGGUAGAUUAAAAAUUAAAAGGUAGGGUGAAUUUAUCCCUAUUAAGAUUAAAGCAUUGAAUUCUGUAGUUAAGUCACAUGCUAGGGGAUGCCACCUAGGAUGGUGUAAAAGACAGAGCUCCCUUUUCAUAACAGUUGGUUGUCCUAGCUGCAUCAAAGAGCUGUUCCAACUAGUUCACAGAACCACAGUUAUUAUGACAUGCAAGUCCUCCAAGAUAUAAGUUGUCUAUGGAAAUAUUCAUUUGGACCUUAACUUUAGGAUCUGGAAAAAAUCUCAAAAUUGGCAAAUAUACCUUCUUAUUUAUUUAUUUAUUUUCCACUGUACAGCAUGGGGACCAAGUUACACAUACAUGUAUACAUACUUUUCUAAUUUAGCUUAUGUCCUCAAAUUCUGCCACAGCAACACAAUGGCUUACACCCUGAAAUAAAUUUCCACAUAUAUGAAGACUCCAUGGCAUCUUCUUUUCUUUCACUUAUUAACCAAACCGGUUUAAUAUUUUCCUAUAAGACCUAGUUUCCAACAAUACUGUCAUUUUGUUCCCUGUUUUUCUUUAGACGUUGCAGCUCUUUGCCGCACCUGCUUUUAAAUGUGGUGACAGUGCUGUCCCAGCAGUGUGCACGUGACCGUGGAGACUCUUCCUGUGGAACAUCAAGUGAGACAAGUAGUAUAGGAUCAACUCCGGUCUACCUGGUGAAGGAACAUCCCCCAAACAGAGGUGGAGCAUCCCUCCCAAGGGAGGCAGCUGACCAGAACAAGCCUCCCAUCCAGGUUUAGUCACUGGGUCUCAAUGGGAUAAAUUCAGCUGCCACCAUGCAGAGGUUCAUCCCCACGGGGACCUCCCUAUAGGACCUCUGGGUCUCAUGACCCAGUGGCUGGCUUCCCACAGAGUGGCCAACCGAGAGAAAGGAAGUGGCAUGGCCUUUUAUGACCCAGCCUUGGAAGUCACUCACCAUUGCUUCCACCAUGUCCCACCGGUCACACAGGUCAGUUCCAAUGUGAGAGGGACUCACCAGGGCAGGAAUACCAGGAGGUAAGAAACGAUCACUGUGGGGAGGGGGUCAUCUUAAAGACUGGCAGCCAAACCUCCCUUUUCUUUCUCCCCAAACCCAAGUGGGCCCUGAAUACUGACUAUUCCUCCUUUAUGGUGUGAACUAGAGACUGGCACUUGCCAUCUGCUUCUACAUGAGUUGAAUCAUGAGCCACUGCAGCUGCUGACCCUCCACACCCCCUGAAAGGAGCUCAGGAUGGAGAUCAGGAGUG